rnacentral:lncRNA from 1 species
CGUACCAUAUCUAAUAAAGUGCGAUUAUGACAUUCACACACCCCAUUACGUUGCGGUGUGCCAAGCGGCGUCAGUUGUGAAACGAUUCCACACUUCCUUAGGUGUGUGCCAAACUCGUGACUCAAAUAUUCUCCUCCACAAUCAGAUCGUAGACAUUUAAUUUUUUCUGUCACGUUGAUUCUCAACCUCACUCUGAAAUUCCUUGAACUUUUCAAACGUCUCAGAUUUGUGCUUCAUCAAGUAGAUAUACCCAUACCUACUCAAAUCAUCGGUGAGAGUGAGAACAUAACGAUAACCACCGCGAGCUUCAACGUUCAUUGGACCACACACAUCAGUAUGUAUUAUUUCCAAUAAGUCGGUUGCUCUCUCCAUUAUUCCUGAGAAUGGAGUCUUAGUCAUCUUGCCCAUGAGGCACAGUUCGCAUGUGUAAAAUGAUUCAAAGUCAAGAGACUCUAAUAGUCCAUCAAUAUGGAGCUUCUUCAUGCGCUUAACGCCGAUAUGACCAAGGCGGCAGUGCCACAAGUAUGUGGGACUGUCAUUAUCAACUUUACAUCUUUUGGUACUCACACUAUGAAUAUGUGUAACAUCACGAUCGAGAUUCAUCAAGAAUAAACCAUUCANNNNNNNNNNNNNNNNNNNNNNNNNNNNNNNNNNNNNNNNNNNNNNNNNNNNNNNNNNNNNNNNNNNNNNNNNNNNNNNNNNNNNNNNNNNNNNNNNNNNAGGUUGACUCGACGAGCUUAGCAUGUACAGACAUGACCUCGAAUACAAGAGACCGAAAGGUCGAACAUGAGUCGUAUGGUUGAAUACGAUCAGCAUGAAGUUGCUCACCAUGGUGACUAGUCCGUCUCACGUGAUGAUCGGACACGGGUUAGUCAACAUGGAUCAUGUAUCACUUAGAUGACUAGAGGGAUGUCGAUUUAAGUGGGAGUUCAUACUUAAUUUGAUUAAAUGAAAUUAAUUGUCAUGAACUUAGUCUAAAAGUUGUCUUUAUAAAUAUUGUAGAUGUCCAACGUCAACCUCAAUUUCAACGCAUUCCUAGAGAAAAACAAGCUGAAAGAUGAUGGUAGCAACUAUGCGGACUGGGUUUGCAACUUGAAGCUCAUCCUCGAAGCAGCUAAAAAGGCUUAUGUCCUUAAUGCGCCGCUAGGUGACCCUCCCGCUCCCGCAGCAGCCCAGGACAUUCUGAACGUCUGGCAAACGCGGAGUGAUGACUACUCUCUGGUCAGGUGUGGCAUGUUAUACAGUUUAGAAACGGGGCUCCAAAGGCGUUUUGAGCAACAUGGGGCAUAUGAGAUGUUCCAGGAGCUACAGCUAGUUUUUCAAGCUCAUGCCCGUGUCGAGAGAUAUGAAGUCUCCGACAAGUUCUUCAGCUGUAAGAUGGAGGAGAACAGUUCUGUCAGUGAGCACAUACUCAAAAUGUCUGGGUUACACGGUCGUCUGACUUCACUUGGAGUCGAACUUCCGGAUGAUGCUAUUAUUGACAGAAUCCUCCAGUCUCUCCCACCAAGCUACAAAGGCUUUGUGCUUAACUACAAUAUGCAAGGGAUGGAGAAGACCAUUCCCGAGUUGUACUCGCUGCUCAACUCUGCAGAAGUAGAAAUCAAGAAAGAGCAUCAAGUCUUGAUGGUCAACAAGACCACUAGUUUCAAGAAAGGCAAGGGUAAGAAGAACUUCAAGAAAGACGGCCAAGCUGUUGCCGCGCCCGGUAAGCCAGAUGCCGGGAAGAAGAAAAAGAACGGACCCAAGCCUGAGACUGAGUGCUUCUAUUGCAAGGGAAAGGGUCACUNNNNNNNNNNNNNNNNNNNNNNNNNNNNNNNNNNNNNNNNNNNNNNNNNNNNNNNNNNNNNNNNNNNNNNNNNNNNNNNNNNNNNNNNNNNNNNNNNNNNUCUCUCCUACUCUAGUCGGAUUGGAUUUGAUGAAAAGGGUCCUUAUGAAGGGUAAAUAGCUUUGGCAUAUAAUCGUUGUGGCUGUCACGUAGGUAAGAAGGCGUUCUUGCUAGAAACCCAAAUCAGCCACGUAAAACUUGCAACAACAAUUAGAGGACGUCUAACUUGUUUUUGCAGGGUUUGACAUGUGAUGUGAUAUGGCCAAAGUUGUGAUGUUGCAUGUAUAAUGUAUGAGAUGAUCAUGUUAUUGUAAUAGGUUUCACGACUUGCAUGUCGAUGAGUAUGACAACCGGCAGGAGCCAUAGGAGUUGUCUUAAUUUAUUGUAUGAGAUGCAACGCCAUGUGCUUACUACUUUUACUUCAUUGCUAACAGUUAGCUAUAGUAGUAGUGAUAGUAGUAGUUGGCGUGACGACAUCACAGAGACACGAUGAUGGAGAUCAUGAUGAUGGAGAUCAUGGUGUCACGCUGGUGACGAUGAUGAUCAUGCGAUGCCUGAAGAUGGAGAUCGAAAGAGCAAAGAUGAUAAUGGCCAUAUCAUGUCACUAUAUGAUUGCAUUGUGAUGUUUAUCAUGUUUUACAUCUUAUUGCUUAAAACGACGGUAGCAUAAUAAGAUGAUCCCUCUUAAAAUUUCAAGAACGUAUUCCCCUAAGUGUGCACCGUUGCGAAGGUUCAUUGUCUCGAAGCACCACGUGAUGAUCGGGUGUGAUAGAUUCUAACAUUCGCAUACAACCGGUGUAAGCCAGAUUUACACACGCGAAACACCUAGGUUGACUCGACGAGCUUAGCAUGUACAGACAUGACCUCGAAUACAAGAGACCGAAAGGUCGAACAUGACUCGUAUGGUUGAAUACGAUCAGCAUGCAGUUGCUCACCAUGGUGACUAGUCCGUCUCACGUGAUGAUCGGACACGGGUUAGUCAACAUGGAUCAUGUAUCACUUAGAUGACUAGAGGGAUGUCGAUUUAAGUGGGAGUUCAUACUUAAUUUGAUUAAAUGAAAUUAAUUGUCAUGAACUUAGUCUAAAAGUUGUCUUUAUAAAUAUUGUAGAUGUCCAACGUCAACCUCAAUUUCAACGCAUUCCUAGAGAAAAACAAGCUGAAAGAUGAUGGUAGCAACUAUGCGGACUGGGUUNNNNNNNNNNNNNNNNNNNNNNNNNNNNNNNNNNNNNNNNNNNNNNNNNNNNNNNNNNNNNNNNNNNNNNNNNNNNNNNNNNNNNNNNNNNNNNNNNNNNAAUACCCAGGAGCUACUACGAGCGCUGGUAAGGUACACAUCAAUAACAUGUAUAUCACAUAUACCUUUAACGUUGCCGGCCUUCUUGUCCGCUAAGUAUUUGGGGCAGUUCCGCUUCCAGUGACCCUUUCCCUUGCAAUAGAAGCACUCAGUCUCAGGCUUGGGUCCGUUCUUUUUCUUCUUCCCGGCAUCUGGCUUACCGGGCGCGGCAACAGCUUGGCCGUCUUUCUUGAAGUUCUUCUUACCCUUGCCUUUCUUGAAACUAGUGGUCUUGUUGACCAUCAAAACUUGAUGCUCUUUCUUGAUUUCUACUUCUGCAGAAUUGAGCACCGAGUACAACUCGGGAAUGGUCUUCUCCAUCCCUUGCAUGUUGUAGUUAAGCACAAAGCCUUUGUAGCUUGGUGGGAGAGACUGGAGGAUUCUGUCAAUUAUAGCAUCAUCCGGAAGUUCGACUCCAAGUGAAGUCAGACGACCGUGUAACCCAGACAUUUUGAGUAUGUGCUCACUGACAGAACUGUUCUCUUCCAUCUUACAGCUAAAGAACUUGUCGGAGACUUCAUAUCUCUCGGCACGGGCAUGAGCUUGAAAAACUAGCUUCAUCUCCUGGAACAUCUCAUAUGCCUCAUGUUGCUCAAAACGCCUUUGGAGCCCCGUUUCUAAACUGUAUAACAUGCUACACCUAACCAGAGAGUAGUCAUCACUCCGCGUUUUCCAGACGUUCAGAAUGUCCUGGGCUGCUGCGGGAGCGGGAGGGUCACCUAGCGGCGCAUCAAGGACAUAAGCCUUUUUAGCUGCUUCAAGGACGAGCUUCAAGUUGCGAACCCAGUCCGCAUAGUUGCUACCAUCAUCUUUCAGCUUGUUUUUCUCUAGGAAUGCGUUGAAAUUGAGGUUGACGUUGGACAUCUACAAUAUUUAUAAAGACAACUUUUAGACUAAGUUCAUGACAAUUAAGUUCAUUUAAUCAAAUUAAAUAUGAACUCCCACUUAAAUCGACAUCCCUCUAGUCAUCUAAGUGAUACAUGAUCCAUGUUGACUAACCCGUGUCCGAUCAUCACGUGAGACGGACUAGUCACCAUGGUGAGCAACUCCAUGCUGAUCGUAUUCAACCAUACGAAUCAUGUUCGACCUUUCGGUCUCUUGUAUUCGAGGUCAUGUCUGUACAUGCUAAGCUCGUCGAGUCAACCUNNNNNNNNNNNNNNNNNNNNNNNNNNNNNNNNNNNNNNNNNNNNNNNNNNNNNNNNNNNNNNNNNNNNNNNNNNNNNNNNNNNNNNNNNNNNNNNNNNNNGCGGAGACUGGCCAAGGACGAGGUGACGAUGCGCGUCGGGAAUGGUUCAAAGGUCGAUGUGAUCGCCGUCAGCACGCUGCCUCUACAUCUACCGUCGGGAUUAGUUUUAAACCUUAAUAAUUGUUAUUUAGUACCAGCUUUAAGCAUGAACAUUGUAUCAGGGUCUUGCUUAAUGCGAGACGGCUACUCAUUUAAGUCAGAGAAUAAUGGUUGUUCUAUUUAUAUGAGUGAUAUGUUUUAUGGUCAUGCUCCGCUGGUGAAUGGUUUAUUCUUGAUGAAUCUCGAUCGUGAUGUUACACAUAUUCAUAGUGUGAGUACCAAAAGAUGCAAAGUUGAUAAUGAUACUCCCACAUACUUGUGGCACUGCCGCCUUGGUCAUAUCGGCGUUAAGCGCAUGAAGAAGCUCCAUACUGAUGGACUAUUAGAGUCUCUUGACUUUGAAUCAUUUGACACAUGCGAACCGUGCCUCAUGGGCAAGAUGACUAAGACUCCAUUCUCAGGAAUAAUGGAGAGAGCAACCGACUUAUUGGAAAUAAUACAUAUUGAUGUGUGUGGUCCAAUGAACGUUGAAGCUCGCGGUGGUUAUCGUUAUGUUCUCACUCUCACCGAUGAUUUGAGUAGGUAUGGGUAUAUCUACUUGAUGAAGCACAAAUCUGAGACGUUUGAAAAGUUCAAGGAAUUUCAGAGUGAGGUUGAGAAUCAACGUGACAGAAAAAUUAAAUGUCUACGAUCUGAUCGUGGAGGAGAAUAUUUGAGUCACGAGUUUGGCACACACCUAAGGAAGUGUGGAAUCGUUUCACAACUGACGCCGCCUGGCACACCGCAGCGCAACGGAGUGUCUGAACGUCGUAAUCGCACUUUAUUAGAUAUGGUACGAUCUAUGAUGUCUCUCACCGACUUACCGCUAUCAUUUUGGGGAUACGCAUUAGAAACUGCAGCAUUCACUUUAAAUAGGGCACCGUCUAAAUCCGUUGAGACGACACCGUAUGAACUAUGGUUUGGCAAGAAACCUAAGUUGUCGUUUCUUAAAGUUUGGGGCUGCGAUGCUUAUGUGAAGAAACUUCAACUAGAAAAGCUCCAACCCAAAGAGGAGAAAUGCGUAUUCAUAGGAUACCCUAAGGAAACUAUUGGGUAUACCUUCUAUCUUAGAUCCGAAGGUAAAACCUUUGUUGCCAAGAACGGAUCCUUUCUAGAGAAAGAGUUUCUCUCGAAAGAAGUAAGUGGGAGGAAGGUAAAACUUGAUGAGGUAAUUGCACCCCCUCUCGAACAGGAAAGUAGCGCAGCGCGGGAAGUUGUUCCUGUGGCGCCUAUACCGAAUGAAGAGGAAGUUAAUGAUGAUGAUCAUGAAGCUUCGGAUCAAGUUACUACUGAACCGCGAAGGUCCACAAGGGCACGCUCCGCACCAGAGUGGUACGGCAACCCUGUGAUGGAAAUCAUGUUGUUAGACAAUGGUGAGCCUUCGAACUAUGAAGAAGCAAUGGCGGGCCCGGAUUCCAACAAAUGGCUUGAGGCUAUGAAAUCCGAGAUAGGAUCCAUGUAUGAGAACAAAGUAUGGACUUUGGUGGACUUGCCCGAUGACCGGCGAGCCAUAGAAAAUAAAUGGAUCUUCAAGAAGAAGACUGAUGCAAACGGUAAUGUAACCGUUUACAAAGCUCGACUUGUCGCAAAGGGUUUUCGACAAAUUCAAGGAGUUGACUACGAAGAGGCUUUCUCUCCCGUAGCGAAGCUGAAAUCAGUUCGAAUCAUGUUAGCAAUUGCCGCCUUUUAUGAUUAUGAAAUUUGGGAAAUGGACGUCAAAACAGCGUUCCUUAACGGGAACCUUAAGGAAGAGUUGUAUAUGAUGCAACCAGAAGGUUUUGUCGACCCUAAGGGUGCUAACAAAGUGUGCAAGCUCCAGCGCUCCAUCUAUGGGCUGGUGCAAGCAUCUCGGAGUUGGAACAUUCGCUUUAAUGAGGUAAUUAAAGCGUUUGGGUUCAUACAGGUUUACGGAGAAACCUGUCUGUACAAGAAAGUGAGUGGGAGCUCUGUAGCUUUCCUCAUACUAUAUGUGGAUGACAUAUUAUUGAUGGGGAAUAAUAUAGAGAUGUUGGAGAGCAUAAAGGCCUAUUUGAACAAGAGUUUUUCAAUGAAGGACCUUGGAGAAGCUGCAUACAUAUUAGGCAUCAAGAUCUAUAGAGAUAGAUCGAGACGCCUCAUAGGUCUUUCGUAAAGUACAUACCUUGACAAGAUAUUGAAGAAGUUCAAUAUGGAAAACUCAAAGAAAGGGUCAUUGCCAGUUUUGCAAGGUAUGAGAUUGAGUAAGACUCAGUCGCCGACCACGGCAGUAGAUAGAGAGAAGAUGAGUUAUGUCCCCUACGCUUCAGCCGUGGGCUCUCUAAUGUAUGCCAUGUUGUGUACCAGACCUGAUAUAAACCUUGCCAUAAGUUUGGUAGGGAGGUACCAAAGUAAUCCCGGUACGGAACACUCGACAGCGGUCAAGAAUAUCCUUAAGUACCUGAAAAGGACUAAGGAAAUAUUUCUCGUUUAUGGAGGUGACGAAGAGCUCGUCGUAAAGGGUUACGUCGACGCUAGCUUCGACAUAGAUCCGGAUGACUCUAAGUCACAGACCGGAUACGUAUAUGUGUUGAAUGGUGGGGCAGUGAGCUGGUGCAACAGCAAGCAAGAAGUCGUGGCAGCAUCUACAUGUGAAGCGGAGUACAUAGCUGCUUCAGAAGCGGCUCAUGAAGGAAUUUGGAUGAAGGAGCUCAUCACUGACCUUGGAGUGGUUCCAAGCGCGUCGGGUCCCAUGACACUCUUCUGUGAUAACACUGGAGCCAUUGCCAUAGCCAAGGAGCCCAGGUUUCACUGAAAGACGAAGCACAUCAAGCGCCGCUACAACUCCAUCCAGGACCAUGUCCAGAGUGGAGUGAUAGAUAUUUGUAAAGUACACACGGAUCUGAAUAUUGCAGACCCGUUGACUAAACCUCUUCCACGAGCAAAACAUGAUCAACACCAUAAUGCUAUGGGUGUUCGAUACAUCACAAUGUAACUAGAUUAUUGACUCUAGUGCAAGUGGGAGACUGUUGGAAAUAUGCCCUAGAGGCAAUAAUAAAAUGGUUAUUAUCAUAUUUCCUCGUUCAUGAUAAUCGUCUAUUGUUCAUGCUAUAAUUGUAUUAACAGGAAACAGUAAUACAUGUGUGAAUAAAUAGAUCACAAUGUGUCCCUAGGAAGCCUCUAGUUGGCUAGCUCGUUAGUCAAUAGAUGAUCAUGGUUUCCUGAUCAUGGGCAUUAGAUGUCAUUGAUAACGGGAUCACAUCAGUGGGAGAAUGAUGUGAUGGACAAGACCCAAUCCUAAGCCUAGCACUAGAUCGUAUUGUUCGUAUGCUAAUGCUUUUCUAAUGUCAAGUAUCUUUUCCUUCGACCGUGAGAUUGUGCAACUCCCAGAUGCCGUAGGAGUGCUUUGGGUGUAUCAAACGUCACAACGUAACUGGGUGACUAUAAAGGUGCACUACGGGUAGGGGGGGGGGGGGGGGUUGGGUUGGUACGAAUCGAGAUCGGGAUUUGUCACUCCGUGUGACGGAGAGGUAUCUCUGGGCCCACUCGGUAGAACAUCAUCAUGAGCUCAAUGUGACUAAGGAGUUAGUCACACGAUGAUGUGCUACGGAACGAGUAAAGAGACUUACCGGUAACGAGAUUGAACAAGGUAUAGGUAUACCGACGAUCGAAUCUCGGGCAAGUUCUAUACCGACAGACANNNNNNNNNNNNNNNNNNNNNNNNNNNNNNNNNNNNNNNNNNNNNNNNNNNNNNNNNNNNNNNNNNNNNNNNNNNNNNNNNNNNNNNNNNNNNNNNNNNNGGGGGGGGGGGAGGGUGUUAGAUUUGUAUUGCCCCUUUUUUGUAUAUCCCCAUUAUAUAAGGGGUUUCUACCACUUUUACCAUAUGUAUAUAUAUUGGCCUUUGGCCCCUGUGAAUAUUUGCUCAUUAUCUAACAGAUCCAACACAAGGUUGGGUCGAAGCUAGUUUAUAUCUGGGACGUUACACCAACCUCUCAAGCCAAUCCAACAUUGCAGACAGAUUUAUGAUACACUUCCUUUUCACGAGCCCGAGGCAAUGUACCUAUGUCAAAAAAAGUAGGAGUUCGAGGCAAUGUACCUAAUACAAACUGUGAAGCCUUCCCACCUAGGCUAUACAUGAGGUCCUUGAGAUGCUCUAUAAGAUAUCGGUUAAAAGAGAAAACGUCCAAAAUAAGAGAAAUAUAACUAUAUUUUUUUUGUAUUUGUCGCUUCAAAGGAUCAGUAUGUUGGACAAGAAGAGAAGCACUGAAGUAGCAUCACUCAUCAUCAAGGUCAAAAUCGUUGUCCGAUGCGCACUCGAGAUAUGAACCAAUCGACUUGCGGAAGAUGAUGAAAGACUUGUCAUCCUGUGAAAAAAGAAUGCAUUAUUUUGCAGGAAGAGGUGUUUCAAGCCAUGGAACAAAAAAAACUGGCUGGUCAUUCAGCUUUAGGCCUGACGGGUAGCUAAAAAUGAAGUCUAAGAAAUGCAAGCAGUUGUGAAUUUUGCCACACCUGCUUCAUCCUUUUCAGUGAUGGUUUGGCAUUUGUUAUCUUAUCUGAUAAGGUGUCACCAUGUUCUGACAAUGUAGCCGUCUCCUCCCCUGUUUGAAGGAUUUGAGUGUAAGAGCAGCAUAUUUCCAUCCAAGGGAAAUAAUGAAUCCUCUAGCUACUUACUUUGAUAUUCAUACUGCUCAAGCAGUUUCUUUUUCUCAACUUCAAUUUGUGAGGAUAGAUCUGCAUAAUAGGACAUGUAACAAGUCAAAUAAGAGCCAAAUAUUUUUGCAGAUUCAAUGAGAUCUGAACGUCUUUUAUGGGAACAUCAUCCAAAUAAUGCUGAGUCGCUAAUAAGCAGUAGCCAAGCAAUGCAUAUUUAGAAACAACACACAUAAUUUGAAUACAAGUGUCAUGUAGAUUCUAUUUGCAUCAAAACCAGGUAUCUCAAUAUUUUUUCUAAAGAUAAGAAUCACAGCUCAUACGUAGUAGCCGAUUACACCAAAUGAGAAACAACCAUCACACGUCACAAUGCCCUAAAAUCCUAGAUAGACCUGGAUAGAAGCACAUGAUAUACUUGUGAAAAUGACAACCAGCUCUUAUUUGACAUACCUUUGAAGGUUUGUAAGUGUGCAUCAUUUUCUUCGCAGAACAUUUCAUAUGUUUCCUGAAGCUUGGUGUACUCUUCGUUCAAUGAACUUUCACACUGCUAAUAGUGCAAAUUACACGCCAUAAUUCAAUCUUAGGCAAAUCAGCAAGUAAGUCGACAAUUCCAAAGAAUUGUAAACUGUGUACCUCUUUCGAAGUGCUUGACAGUACUUUCAGCAAAUUCUGCCUGCACAUGCAAAUAUAACAGUGACACUACGUUCUAAAUAAAAACGAACAAGCUUCCUUUUCUGACAGAACUGGUUUCAGGCGUAAUUGUUCAUGCAGGCAUCGUUUCACAGUUCACAAGCAAGUGAGUUACCUUUCCUUCUCAAACUUGGACUUGGUAUCUUCAAGCAUAGUCUGAAUAUUGGCUGCAACACUGUCAGGUUUAGAAAAGUAAAGGAAUAAACAGGGUAAGAAGAAGGUAAAAGAAUAAUGAUCAGCAACAUUAUGCGCUUCAAACUUCACAGUUCAGUCAGCGGAGUCCCUGUUAGUCCACAUGUUAUAAUUUUCGGCUUCUUUUCCUCCCCGAUGCCUGUGUAAAUAAUUCUUUGUAAUAGUUCUGAGAAGUUUAUAGAAAUGUUCAGGCUGGCUUUGCCGGCCGUAGUUCUGAAAAUCAACUCACCCGAACAAAGCCACACCAUGACAUAAGUACAAAACAUGAAUCCGGGAACCCAUCAAAUUAAUAUGUCCAUUUUCCUCGCAUCACUCACAAUGCAUAUCGCUCCGCAUAAUAUACAAAAACUGACAUAUCACCGAACGAACCUAGUUCCUGCAUUAAUCACAGAAACAGCCGAGUGGACGCAUUGCAGGAUUGCAAACGUGCAACAUUUAUUUGUAUCCCUCCCAGUGACCAUGAACUGUAAGUUUUCCACACAAAUCCGCCAGCACGAAAUGCAUCAUAAGAAGCUGCUAGGAUAGCAUACGCCGAUCCCAAUUUUUUUGCACGCUAGCACAUAGCGAGAUAAGAGAAAAUUUAGAGGUGCAAGUGCAACCGAAAGAACACUGUUCUCCGCACCUGGCGAUGAUCUGCUCGCACAUCUUCUGGCCAGCCUUGUUGGUCCCGCCCUUGAUCAACCGCAGCAGGCACGCGAUCUGCCUCAAGUCGCUGCGCCCGCCACAAAAGUAGCCAUCACGGAGUUAAAGCGAGAAGGAAUUAGAAACGGGAGACACCGAAUCGAAGAGGAAAAGCUCGAAAUCAGAUGUGCGGCACCUGACGAAAUCGCCGUCAGAUUCCGAGCCGGAGCUGGAGCCGGAAUCGGAACCGGAGCCGAAAUCCACGGGGUGGCGCGGCCUCUUCGACGACCGCAGAGCCUCUUCACCCAGGGACAUCCUCCUUCCGCCGCCGGGACUCGCCGCGGGCCGCAUCGCUGGUCGACGAGCGUAGUGCAGCGCAAUUCGAAAUUUGGAGGGGGAGCGAGAGGGUAGUGAUGUAAUACUGGCAAAAUUUUGGUGGCCCACUCACAGUAUUGGCUUUUGUAAGGGAAAGUGUUCGUGCGCGCAAGGCUACGAGCAACUAGUUCCUCCUCUUGUAAUUUUUUUUUCCUUCGACGCGUCCGUUGAAGUGUUCGGCCGGUCGCGUUCCUUCCUCACGUUUUUCUUCCACCUUUUCCUUUUCCCCUCCCGCGCACACUCGGAUUUUUUCACUGUUUUAACCUUUUUUCUAAANNNNNNCACAAAAUGAACCAGAUUUGAAACCAUUUCACGAUCUGACCCUUUUAAAAACGCCACAAGCCGUGGCGUUGCUNNNNNNNNNNNNNNNNNNNNNNNNNNNNNNNNNNNNNNNNNNNNNNNNNNNNNNNNNNNNNNNNNNNNNNNNNNNNNNNNNNNNNNNNNNNNNNNNNNNNUGGACAAGAAUACAUGGAGUUACUCAAGCCAUUGAAUCAUUUGACUUUGUUUUCAAUCUUCACUUGAUGCUUGUUAUUCUUGGCUAUACAAAUGAGUUGUCCAAAUCUUUGCAAAAGAGAGAUCAAGAUACUAUUAAUGCAGUGGCACUUGUUAGUUUGGCAAAGAGUAGAAUGCGACACAUGAGGUGUCAUGGUUAGGAAGAAUUUCUUGCAAAGCUAACCCUAUUUUGCCAGAAACAUGACAUUCAAGUUCCUUUGUGGGAGGAUACUUAUGCAGGGGCAGAAUUAGCAUGGGUUCACGUCUAGGGCCAAAUUAGCUUCAGUGGUGUAUUUUAGAGAUUUUUUGUACUUAGUAAGUAGGUAUUACAAAGACUAUUGUCACUACACCUAGGGCUAUAGCCCCAUUUUCCCUAGGCCUGAUUCCAACAUUGUACUUAUGAGCAUCAUGGAAUAUCACGUUGGUAUAAUGAAGUUCAAACAAAUGAUGAUCGUUAUAAAAGAGAAGUAUAUCUUGGUGUCAUUGAUCAAACCAUUCUAUCCCAUGGACAUAUCAAGCACGGAUUUGAUAAGGCUAGAAUUUCAACUUGCUACUUUUAUUGAUGAUACGAGACAAGAUGAUAUUGGUGAGCUCUCUAUUUUACUUGUUGCAACAAAGAAUCAUAUUCUCUAUGAUUUGGUCUACUUACUCAUCAAAUUGAUAUUGAUUUUACCGAUGGCAACAACGAGUGUUGAAAGGGUAUUUUCUGCAAUGAAUCUAGUGAAAAAUAAAUUAAGGACUAGUAUGGGUGAUGAUCGUUUGGUGACAAUUAUUAAGCGAGAUGUGUUCAUGAAAGUAAAUGAAGAUGACAUAGUUGAUGCUUUCAUGACAAUGCAACGACGUAGAGUUACCUAGUGUUGUAAUUUUCUACUUCUGUUACUUUCAUGUAAGUCUUUUCUAUUGUAACUGGGCACAUUUGAAAUACAUUUUAUGUACUAAAUGGUUGUGAGAUUUCAAUUGAGCUAUUUAUGUUACUCAUUUGACAUAUUUUGAUACAUUUGGAUUAGGUAGGAAAAAAAUAGAGUGCGCAUGCCCUUUAUUUUAUUCCUGGGUACCCACACAAUGGAACGCAAAAAUAUCCAGCCGAGCGAGCAGUAAAUCCACCAUACGGGAUGUGCAUACUUAAUACUCCUACAUUGCAACAAAUAAUCGUGAAAAAAAAUGGAAAAAGAAACCAUAUGCGAUCAGGCACAUGACGAAGGAAGGGUCACAUGAAUGAAGAAGAGAGAAAAGCCACAUAUCGACCCGAAUAGCGAAGUGUGGGAGCCGCGAUGGCGGGCACUGGCAGCCAUACAUUGGGCUAUCCAAAAUCUCAUCUCUCGCCCAAUCCCGGCCUCACGAUCUCAAUUCUCACCCCGCGUGCACCACAAGCUCCAAUCCCCUAACUCGUAUAUACAGCCACGCCCGCCUCACCGUCCUUGAUCUUCCCCCCUAUCUGAUCGGAUCCUUUGGACAUGGCGUCGCCCAUGCUCUCCACGGCCAUGGCGCCACUCCAGGUAUUGCUCGUGUUCCAUUUCCAUUCCAUGCUUGCGUAGUAGUACAGUUCUUCCAUGUUUGUGACGCGCGGUGGUUAUGUAACUGGACUGCCAUGCAUCCUCUGUCGAUCCAGGGGGGCAUGCUGGAGUUCUCCGGGCUGAGGAGCUCGUCGUCGCUGCCGCUCCGGCGGAAUGCCACCUCCGACGACUUCAUGUCCGCCGUCUCCUUCAGGACAUACGCGGUAUGAUAUGAAUAUGAUGGGCGGAAUGUGGCUGUCACCUAGGAGUACGUAGCUCGCUUGGUCGCAUGCCAUGAGACAUGAGCGGCGCGUGGUACGGUGGUUGCAGGUGAGCACGAGCGGCGGGUCGCGGAAGGCGCCGACGGAGGCGAAGCUCAAGGUGGCGAUCAACGGGUUCGGGCGCAUCGGGCGCAACUUCCUGCGGUGCUGGCACGGGCGCGGCGACAGCUCGCCGCUGGAGGUGAUCGCCAUCAACGACACCGGAGGCGUGAAGCAGGCGUCCCACCUCCUCAAGUACGACUCCACGCUGGGCAUCUUCGACGCGGACGUCAAGCCCGUGGGCGACAACGCCAUCUCCGUCGACGGCAAGGUGAUCAAGGUCGUGUCCGACCGCAACCCCUCCAACCUGCCGUGGGGCGAGAUGGGCAUCGACCUCGUCAUCGAGGGCACCGGCGUCUUCGUCGACCGCGCCGGCGCGGGCAAGCAUCUCGAGGCCGGAGCCAAGAAGGUGCUCAUCACCGCGCCCGGCAAGGGCGACAUCCCCACCUACGUCUGCGGCGUCAACGCCGACCUCUACACCCACGCCGACACCAUCAUCAGCAACGCCUCAUGCACCACCAACUGCCUCGCCCCCUUCGUCAAGGUCCUCGACCAAAAGUUCGGUACGUGCCCGUCUCCCUCCCUCUCUCUCUCUCUCAACUGAAUCAACUUGUUGACGAUGACUAAUGGCGGCGGUGGCAAUGGCGCAGGCAUCAUCAAGGGAACCAUGACCACAACCCACUCGUACACCGGCGACCAGAGGCUGCUCGACGCGAGCCACCGCGACCUGCGCCGUGCCCGCGCCGCCGCCCUCAACAUAGUGCCGACCUCCACCGGCGCGGCCAAGGCCGUGGCGCUGGUGCUCCCCAACCUCAAGGGCAAGCUCAACGGGAUCGCGCUCCGGGUGCCCACCCCCAACGUGUCCGUCGUCGACCUCGUGGUGCAGGUCUCCAAGAAGACCCUCGCCGAGGAGGUGAACCAGGCGUUCCGCGACGCCGCCGCCAACGAGCUCAAGGGCAUCCUCGACGUCUGCGACGAGCCCCUCGUGUCCGUCGACUUCAGGUGCUCCGACGUCUCCUCCACCAUCGACGCGUCGCUCAGCAUGGUCAUGGGAGACGACAUGGUCAAGGUCAUUGCAUGGUACGACAACGAGUGGGGUUACUCCCAGAGGGUCGUCGACCUCGCCGACAUCGUCGCCAACCAAUGGAAGUGAACGCCCCCCCACAGCGGCAUUGCCCUGUCAAGUGACUCCUCUCGAAAUUUUCCCCAGCCGUCGUCACGGAUGAUCGAUUCUUUGUAAUGAGAAUUCAAAGUAUCGAGCUCCCAACAC